AGAUUACACGGAGCCGCACGUACACGUCGGAUUCACCGCGUUUGGGUGUUAAUAAGCAGAAAGGGGUUCCUGUCCGGACGGCAUCUCUCACCAGUUUCUCUUCCUUCGUCAUCUGUUUCCGAGCCUCAGAUUGCGCUUUAAAGUAUUCGCUCAUCUCGAUGAAGUUACAUUUAUUCAGAUCAGAAAUCCUGGACUUCUCCUCCGAGGUCAUUUCCUGUGCAGAAAAUAAAAAAUAAAAAAAGGA